rnacentral:lncRNA from 1 species
AAAGGGGCACGUUUCCCGAAAGCGUCGUUGAACAACUACUGUAGUUAAAUGAUAGAGAGACUAUCGUUUAGAACACUCUCUCACCACAGUUACCACUGUUGUUGCUCAACAACACUUUCAGUAAAUGCACCCCAGAGGAGUGUAUAGGUUUUCUUACAUACGUAUCUGUCACAUAUGAAUGAAAUACAGUAUGUCUGUGCUGUGUCCUUAAAUGAUCAAGUCCAACAUCUUCACAGAGGCAGUUAUGUGUGAUUUGAACAAACGAUCACCAUAACUAUUGCACUGCAGUGUGGCAACCGUGUGAACAUGUGUUGUAUCCCAUCACUUCUCUCACAAUAAGACAACUGUAACAAACUGAUUUCAUUGCAGUGUGAUUUAAUUUGAAAUAGCAAUGUUUUGAUUACGAGAUGAUUGCUGUAUGUUGCCAGAACUCAUGCAGAAUCACUUAUCCUGUCUGAUUACAGCAAUUUCACCUGGAGAAGGUGCAGGGCUUCUGUGUGUUUUUGCUCUAUUAAAGAUGUUAGCGAAUGUCUCCCUGUCAAAGCACCCAGAUAGCAUACCCGAAAUACCACAAACCAUUCUAUUUAUGUUUGGGGCUGCAGGACUAAGUAUUGUAAAUUCUAUUGGUUUGGCAACCAAAUUGUUCCUGACAUCAGGUAAAAUGAAAACUGAAGCGUCAUUGUCUUAACAUUACAAUAUUUUAUAAAUGUAUGUUCCUGUAAUUUAGUCGCACAGUUAUAUGUUACUAUGUUAUGUUACUAUGAUAUGUUUCUACUUUCAGGAGGUGGCCAUCAAAAUGUACCUGAUCUUAGAUUCAUCACCCUUCCAUCCGAAUGUGUCUUUGUGUUUGGAUGGUUUACAUUGCAGAUACAUGAUUACUGUAAGUGUUAAAUCAAUCCAAAUUGAUAAAGAACAAGUUGUACUGUAUCUAUGACUACUAAUUGAUCUGACUCUCCAUCUUGCUUACUCUCAUGUAAUACAGGGACACACAAACACAGGUAAAUCCUCUCAUCAACUAAGCAUGAAAAUAUCAGUCGACCUCCUGCUCUAAUCCCUAAUUCUUAUACCAACACACUUUUUUGGAUUUUAUCGAUUGACUAAUUUGUAUUGGUCCUUGCCCUAUCCCCAAUCAGGACAGAGAGCAACUCAGAGAGGCACAGAGACCUCGUAUUACAGGUUGGUUGCAAUAUAUUCACUAAGGAAUGAAAGACAAGUCACGUAAACAUGCACAGACAUGUAACGGGUCUUAAACAGGUUUCUCAUUGCAGGACACAGCUGACACUCAUGAGAUGCAUGUCAUGGCCAGACCAGAUUUACACACUUCAGACCCCUCUUUGAUGACAACUGUCUCAGAGCAGAAAAUAUACCACCUGUAAAUGUUGAGAGCAUGUAUGUUUGCAUACUCCAUUAAUCUGUAUCUUUGUCAAUAAAGAUAUUUGGGGAAAAAAAAAAAAUCUGUAU